rnacentral:rRNA from 1 species
GACGAACGCUGGCGGCGUGCCUAACACAUGCAAGUCGAGCGAGUGGAUUUCCUUCGGGAAUGAAGCUAGCGGCGGACGGGUGAGUAACACGUGGGCAACCUACCUCAUAGAGGGGAAUAGCCUCCCGAAAGGGAGAUUAAUACCGCAUAAGAUUGUAGCUUCGCAUGAAGUAGCAAUUAAAGGAGUAAUCCGCUAUGAGAUGGGCCCGCGGCGCAUUAGCUAGUUGGUGAGGUAACGGCUCACCAAGGCGACGAUGCGUAGCCGACCUGAGAGGGUGAUCGGCCACAUUGGGACUGAGACACGGCCCAGACUCCUACGGGAGGCAGCAGUGGGGAAUAUUGCACAAUGGGGGAAACCCUGAUGCAGCAACGCCGCGUGAGUGAUGACGGCCUUCGGGUUGUAAAGCUCUGUCUUCAGGGACGAUAAUGACGGUACCUGAGGAGGAAGCCACGGCUAACUACGUGCCAGCCGCCGCCGUAAAAC